rnacentral:lncRNA from 1 species
UUUGAGAAAUUCUUGUAUAAAAAUAAUGUCAUAGAACUCAAUAUGCCUAGUAGUGUAAUAAAAUGUGUUAAAUAGAAAAAAAAAGUAUUUGGAAGUUUCAAGUCAGCAAUAGGAAGAAGAAAGAUUAGAAAUAGUUGAAUUUUCCAAAGCUCGAUUCUACAUGAGCUAAUUCAAAUCUGAAAUGAUUGGAAAUACCAUUGGGUUAGGCCUAAUUUAACUGAUUUGAUUAGAAUCAACCUCUUACUACAUGGAAAGACUAAGGCUCCAGAGCCAAGAACAGUUCAAAAAACUCAAAUUUUAUAUUUGCUUUUACCUGAUAGUAAAUAUUUGAUUAUAGUUGUUACUUAAAUGAAUCACACUAUAUGUAUUUUUGAAUAUAUCCUUUUAUAACAAUAAGAGAGUCUUCUGAUUAGAAACGAGUUUCUAACUCUAAUGCAUCAUACAGUUGAAGUCUAAAAGAACUCUACAUAUUAUCCGAAAAUUAAUGUGUACAAAGAAAAAAGGACUAAGUGCUUUUCUUAAGACUAAGUGCUGUUUAUUUUUCCUGCUAAUUACUGGUUGAGGUAAACUUGCCAUGUACAACAGAAUGAGUAAUAAACUAGAGUAUGCAGUCAUUUCCCAAUUAUAUUAGUUUUAUACAUGUGCUUAUUUCAACCCAGUACAAUUAAUUAUGAUUAUUAUGUUCGUCCAUUUAUAAAAUUUUGAACCGUUUUGUCUGAUGGACAUCUGUAGUUUUACAGUUUGGCAAACAGAACUCAUUUUAUAUUGAUGAAAUGAUGCUUCCUCAGUGCAAAAUAACUAUUUUGUAAAUUCAUGGAAAUAAUCAGUCAACUUCUAGUAUUCUGACAAGGAAAUUCUGAAUACCAAAUUGGUUUCCCACUAACACUAAAAUCCAGUUGGAAUGAGUCUUUUCUUCCCCCUGCAUGUUUGUUUAAUGCCAAUCUCCAUGAUUUCUAAGUAUACUAAUAAGCAUGUCAUGCUAAUUUUAAUUCUGAAACAGAGACAUGCAAGGAAACCUUUUUUUGUUUUAAUGUAAUUUGCUUCAAACAUCUUUAGGAUCUUUUGUUCACAAUGCAUCAGUGAGGAUGAAAAUCUCUACAUCUUUCAGAGUUUCCAGGAGGACCUCCAUGAUUGUCUAAUUGCAGGAUAGUCCAUGACUGAAUUCAGUUCUGAGUAGAAUUACAGAUUACUUCAACUAAUGCUACCCUAAUCCCAUCUUUUGGUACAAGGCAACAUUUCUCAUCCAGGAAGUGAGUGAACUCUGGAAAUUUUAGAAAAGUACCGAAAUGGCUUUAAAAACUGAAACCAAGUGCUCUGGCAUAAUUUAUUAACAGCUUCCUUAACCUAUUCAGCAAAAGGUCUAAUUUUGAUUGUAAUACCUGAACCCUGGAUAGACUCUUCAUUAAGGCAAGGCUCAAAAGUAUAUUUAGGUCAUUUAGAUUAGUGCUUCUCAAACUUUAAAGUGUACCUGAGUCAGGGGUAUCUUGUUAAAAUGAAGAUUUUGGGUCAGUAGAUGAGGGUAAGACGCUGCCUUUCCAAAGAAGCUCCCAGGUGACCCUGAUGGAACUGGGCUAGGACUCACACUUUGAGCAGCUCAGUUUUAAAAGGCUUAAGAUCCUCUUCAGGUAUGCGGAGCACUAGACUAAUGUUAAAUAUUUAUUGACCUUACUGAUAAAAACCACAAUUUCAUCUGCAAUUAACAAUACGUAUAGAGUGUAGUAUACAUUUGGAAGAAAAGGCAUUCAGCGAAGCUUUAGGAACUGGCAAACAAGCAUCAUGCACAUAGCCUCUGUGGUGUUAUUCUUCAUUUAGAAGAAAAUUUUGGAGAAAAGAUUGGUAAUCCAUGAAUUCCCAAUCUCCUCUAUAGCUUACAUAUAUUCUUGAGUCCCACUGUAUAUUUAAUUUUGCUCUCCUAUAGGACACUUUUCAAAAUUGCACUUCAUUAAAAUUUUAAUUCUUGUUUAAGAGAGACAUGUUUGAGAGGUUUAGAUUAUUUUCAUAUUGAUUUACUUAUUUUAAAACAAAGAACAAGUUAUAUAUGUGAGGAAAUCACUGAUACUGAGGAAACUUCUACAAAUAUUUUCACUUAAUAUUAAAUUAAUGCCCUGUGACUUGAUGAGAAUGGUAAUGGAAACAGUCUACAUUAUUACCUAUGGGUCUUAUCGAAAACUAACUGGAAAGUAAAGAUAACCCACCAGAGUCUUUCUGAAUGAGAUGAAAGCACCAUCUUUUACAAUGUGGUGCUGAGUUUAAAUGUUGCCACUUACAGGGCUGUUCUGAUCUAAAGUGCUACCAUUAACAGCAGUAUGACAAGCCAUUGUUAACCACCUACAGCUUUUGCUGGGCAAAAUUGAUGCUACCUAUUGCUUUGUAACUAAAGCACUGCUUUUCACAGUUGUAUUCCCAGUUAAGAGCUCAUAUUGAUAGAACAGGCCAAGGCAAACCUAAUACCCCCUUGUAUCCCAUUAUACAGUGGGUGGGUUGUAACAGUUAACCUUUACCUGCUCCUAAACUGCAGUGCCCUUCUUAACAGUGAACAGGUAAAGAACAACUGCAUGAUAUGAAUUGAACUUAUAUAAGGAUCUGAACACAAAGAAAGAGACAAAAGCUACCUUCGAAGUGCAAGCUUUGUCCAGACAUCAGCAACAUCCCCUAGACAGGCAGAAUGUUAAAGCCUCACUUGACUGCAUUAGCUGGAGCUUUUCACACUAGUGCACUUAAUGAAAAAAGCUACCAACCAAAGCACUCCACUCAGGAAAGCUGUUCCUAGUCGAAAGCUGGCAGCAAAUAAAAUAAAUACUACCUUCCACAGUGCUAGAAGAGUGGACUAGUCUAGGUCAUGUAAAUUUGAAACUAAAAUGUUCUUUCACAAUAAAGUGAAAUUGUCUGCUGAAUCCAAUAAAAAGUAUACUGGAUAUACUGUGCUUAAAAAAAAAAUAGAGAUAUGCUAGUUAGAUCAACAAUCAGGACUGUGCAGUAAUGACAAUCAUCAGAUACUUCUAUAGGAAAUUCUGGUUAAAGUGUACCAACACUGGAGAGAGACAUAUUCUUAACCACCCACAGUCUUUGCAUAUAAAAGAGAGGAUGCACUUCACCCUAUGCACUCCUGUCAAAGACAUAUAUGAAGUUAACUGUACUGUCCAGUGAUUAACCUCAUCUUGGCAUUAGGUUGGAAAUGAGAGAGAGUUCUGGAAAACACUCAAAAAUAGGGAUAGACGUAAUCCAAAUCAUGGGGAUCUGGCAGAAGCUGCAUAUUCUGUUCCAGAUCCUUUGUAAAUAUAGAUAAGGGAGAAGAGAUUAGUUAGGUUAAAAAUGAUAAUAUAUGAAAAGAUGUUCUUUGGUGAAUUUUUCUGAUAGGAAGGUAAAAGCAACCUAAAUACACAUUAAAACAUUAGCUUUAUUUUGUCCAUUUAUAAAAAGUCUUUUCUGUUUUUAAAUAUACUUCAAAUAGAAUUAGCUCCUGCAACCACAGAAAUAUAACUUUUUACUACAAAGCAGUUAGUGAAAAUAAGAGAAAGAAAUCAUAUUCUGAUAUAUAACACUUUUGUGGCCACAUGAUGAUAUGUGCUUUUAAUAAAGGCGGUUAAAGGUUGAAAUUGCACUGAUGGGGGUCCCCAGCAUGUGACAGUAUCACUUAAAAUCAGUAAACAACUGACAGUCCCUUUCAUACAAGUGACAAGGGUUUACACUCAAUUUUUAUGUCUUAUGUGCCUUGUUGGCCUGUAACAGAAAUCUGUUUUUUGAUUGUGUAUCCUUCAGGCAAUCUAGCCAUCAAGGGAAAACUAUAGUAGAAGAUUAAAAAUUCUUAGUCCUUUAAUCUAAAAAUACCUAAAAUAUAAAUUUGUGUAGGAAAAAUCACUCCCCACAAAUACAAGAAAAUCUAAAACUAGAAGUCAGAGAGCUAAAUUAGUUAUAAAAAACAGAAAAAAAGAAGUAUUUACUAUUUUUCAAACUGUUUUGGUGAAUGCCUAUGUUGGCAUAUUCUACGUGUUCUCAUCCUUAUCAGUCGUUAAAACAGACAGACCAAUGGAACAGAAUAGAGAAUCACUUUUGAUUCCAUUUUUAUCUGGCACACUGGACAGGUUCAUGGGACAUGCUGUUGGCUGUAGCUUUAAAAUCCAGAAACCAUUAGUACUUUAUCUGUUAACACACUGAUCUAAUCAUUUCUUAUCUAGAACUGGUAUAUUAGCCUCCUUACUGCUCUCCACUUAAUUCCUAAAGUUUCUUUUAAAACAAAAGUUUAUCUGUGUACUUUCUUUGGCAAAAUCCUUCAGUUGCAUUGUAUUUCAAUCAAAGUAAAAGCUAAAGUCUUUAUAGUAACUUAAAUACCCUGCACUAUCAGGUCUGGACACAAUGCCCUUUGCUUUCUUAUCCUGUAGUUUAGUUGGCAGGGUCAGAUGUCCAGUGUGUCUAGCAGAUUCCCAGGCCUUAAGAGACCACACAGCUAGAAGCCAUGAGCUAAGAGGUGUAGGCCCCUAAAUGCCCCCUUCACUGGCAACAGCAUUGAUGAGAUGGUAACCUGAGUGAAAAAUAAACAUAACAUAGGUUUAAACCACUGGGAUACUCUGGGAUUGUUUCUGUAUUUACCCUACCCCAAGUAAAAUACCGUGAUAAAGAAAGGUCACACAAGCCGUUUUACUUAUUUUUUAUUAAUUUUUUUAGCUUUAUUGUGGUAUAUUUGAGAAACAUCCACACUGUUUUCCAUAGAGGCUACACUAAUUUAUAUUUCCACCUACAGUGAGCAAAAAUUUCUUUUUGUCCACACCCUAGCUAACUCUCACUCAUUUGUCCUUUUGAGGGCAGCCAUUCUACAGGUGUGAGGUGAUAUCUUGCUGUGGCUUUGAUUUGCAUUUCUGUGAUGAUUAGUGAUGUCGUAUACCAUUUCAUAUAUUGUGGCCCAAUGGUGUGUCUUCUUUGAAAAAAAAGAAGUCUAAUCAGUUCCUUUGCUCACUUUUUAAGCAGAUUGCUGUUGUUAUUUUUAAACUCCAAGUUUAUUUAUUUGUUUUUAAUUUUUUAAUUUUAGGUGACUUACUAUUUUGUGUUAGUUUCAGGUGUACAGCAAAAUUAAUCAUUUUCAGGUCUUUUUCAGCUGUUUUUAAAAGA